rnacentral:tRNA from 1 species
GCAGUGGUGGUUCAUUGGUAGAACUCUGGCCUUCCCUGAGGAAGACCUGGGUUUGAUUCCUGGCUGAUGCA